rnacentral:lncRNA from 1 species
CUCUAUCCAGGUCCAGCUAAAGUCCUCGACUUCCCUGAGAUUUUGUCAGUUUCACACAGACCUUUUCCUGAAGCUCUGUUACCUGGACAGCUGAUACUAUACAGGAAGAACAACUGCAAGAGAAAUGUGGUAGCUUUGGGUCUCACAUCCAGCACCACUGGAGAGCCAGAUGGAAAACAGCACCCUGUGCAAGUGGAAGGGUUUGCUGUGAGUUGCUGAGAAAUAAACAAAGAAAGCCAAACAAAGCAAAGAGACCACUUUCCCCUCUCUCCUUCCGAGUAUCAUUGGAAAUCAGAUGGAAGGAUUUUUACCGUUCCCUCUUGACA